AAAAACAUUUCUUCUACAAGUUAGAAGUAAGGCCUGCUCACUGUUAAAAUAAAGAGCUGCAGUAUUUUGACUGUGCAAAGGUAGCAUAAUAGAUUGCCUUUUAAUUGGGGGCUGGAAUGAAAGGUUUGACAAAACAAAGGUUUUUCCUGGUGUAAGUUCGAAGUUAAAUUUCCUGUCAGAAUGCAAGAAUUUUAGUAAAGGACGAUAAGACCCUAUAAACUUUUACACAUACUCAUUUUAAGAAAUUAUAUUAUAGUGUUUGAUUGGGGCAAUCAAAAUAAAUUAAUUUUAUAACAAAACUUUAUACAAGGGAAUUAGAGCCUAAAAAGCAAUAGAAAAAAGUACUUUAGGGAUAACAGCGUUAUAGUCUCGGAGAGACCAUAUCUAUGGGACUGAUUGCGACCUCGAUGUUGAAUUAAGAAAAUCUUGGAGCAGCCUUCAAGAAAUUUUAGGUCUGUUCGACCUUUAAAUUUUUACGUGAUCUG
rnacentral:rRNA from 1 species